GCAGACACAUUCCAGCCAAUCAGCAGCAGACCCUCCCUCCCAGACCCUCCCACCUCCUGGACAGCAUCCAUUUUACAUUCAUUGUGAAGCUGCAUUCUUAGUGAGCUGUCCAGGAGGUGGGAGGGUCUGGGAGGGAGGGUCUGCUGCUGAUUGGGUGGAAUGUGUCUG